rnacentral:lncRNA from 10 species
CUUGCCCAAGGUCAUGAGAGGGCAUUUCAUCAUGUUGCCCAGGCUGAUCUCAAACUCCUGGGCUUGUGUCCGAAACUGGUGAGUGCUUGGUCUCACUGACUUCAAGAAGGAAGCCGCGGACCCUCGCAGUGAGUGUUACAGCUCUUAAGGUGGUGCAUCUGGAGUUUGUUCCUUCUGAUGUUCAGAUGUGUUCGCAGUUUCUUCCUUCUGGUGGGUUCGUGGUCUCGCUGGCUGAGGAGUGAAGCUGCAGACCUUCGCGGUGAGUGUUAUAGCUCUUAAGGCAGCGCGGCCGGAGUUGUUCAUUCCUCCCGGUGGGCUCGUGGUCUUAGUGGCUUCAGGAGUGAAGCUGCAGACCUUCGUGGUGAGUGUUACAGCUCAUAAAAGCAGUGUGGACCCAAAAAGCGAGCAGUAGCAAGAUUUAUCGCAAACAGCAAAAGAACAAAGCUGCCAUAUUGUGGAUGGGGACCUGUGCCCGUUGCCACUGCUGGCUCGGGCAGCCUGCUUUUAUUCUCUUAUCUGGCCCCACCCACAUCCUGCUGAUUGGUAGAGCCGAGUGGUCUGUUUUGACAGGGCGCUGAUUGGUGCGUUUACAAUCCCUGAGCUAGACACAAAGGUUCUCCACGUCCCCACUAGAUUAACUAGAUACAGAGUGUCGACACAAACAUUCUCCAAGGCCCCACCAGAGUAGCUGUCAAGCCUCUGAGCCCAAGCCAAGCCAUCGCAUCCCCUGUAACUUGCACAUAUACGCCCAGAUGGCCUGAAGUAACUGAAGAAUCACAAAAGAAGUGAAUAUGCCCUGCCCCAACUUAACUGAUGACAUUCCACCACAAAAGAGGUGUAAAUGGCGGGUCCUUGCCUUAAUUGAUGACAUUACCUUGUGAAAGUCCUUUUCCUGGCUCAUCCUGGCUCAAAAAGCACCCCCACUGAGCACCUUGCGACCCCCCACUCCUGCCCGCCAGAGAACAAACCCCCUUUGACUGUAAUUUUCCUUUACCUACCCAAAUCCUAUAAAACGGCCCCACCCUUAUCU